rnacentral:lncRNA from 1 species
AAAUACUUGAAUGACUCUAAAUUAAAGGCACUCUAUGAUCUGCAGUGAGAAAGACAAAUACAAGAUAAUAACCCUAUUUUUGAGGGGAUAAUAGUGUUAUAUUCUAUAGCUUUUCAUUUGAUUUGAAAUACACUUGCAAAUAUAAUAUGCAGACUAAAUGACAAAGAGAAAAAGAAGCAACAUCUUUAUAUUUUAUGGCUCACUAUAUGUUGCUUGUCCUCUCAGCACCCUAUUCUAAUCCUUAAAUGAUACUUAUAUUAGCAUUACUAAGAAGUUUGAGAUGUUCUUAAAAUAUAUUUUGAACUAUUCGGUCCAAAUGCUGCUUUCUAAAUAUCUACUGGUUUCAAGAAUGGGAAAUAAUGUUAAUGGAGUUAAUCUUGUGUAAUUUCAGUGUGGAUUGUCACAAAUGCCUCGAAGUAAAGAAAAUGAGUCUAAUCUUCUUAAGCAAUUUAUUCUUUCAGAGACUUUGAGGCAGGACUCUCUAUUACUAAAGAAAUAUUUUGAUUAUGGGAAGAAGUCAGGAUAUCCAUGAAAUCAUUUAAAUGUAGACAUUGGAAAACAUUAAAAUUAUAAGAUAUAUUAAACUAUCUUCUUAAUUUUAAGUCUUCUUAAUCUUAAGUGUUCUUAAUAAAUACCCAACUCAGCCACAAAUGUUGAAAUAAAACCCUGUUAUAAGGAGGAAAAUUAAACAAUGAAGGCAAAAUUAGAGCUAUUUGGUUGUUUUAAAAGGGAAAAGAUCAAUGAGCUGGUCAAUUCUUAGCUGAAGGUGUUUGGGCAUCAGGAUCUGGUUGAGAAUGGAAGGGGAUAGGAACUCAAUUCUUUUUUUUUUUAAUUUUUUAUUGUUGGCUGUUCAACUCAAUUCUUUAUGCUUUUAUACUAAGCCACCCUUUUUGCAGUAAGCCUUAGUGACAUUUUCUUAGACUGGUUAGGUCAGGAUUCUGAAUUUUUUACUACAAUAGGGUUUAACCUUAACUGAUUGUUUCCACCCCAACCCCCGGUCAUAAAAGACUAGUGUUCUUUUCUAAAAAGGGAAGGUGAAGAUUCUGUUAAAACCUAUAAUUCCCCUUAGGUUAUAAUAAAAUGGAUUUUUUUUUUGCACAUGAUUUUCAAGAGGAACCUAAUUUUAAUUACAUUUUUUAAUGCUAUGUAAACAAUAAAGCAGUUUUCACAUAGGGGAACACUUAUUCUGAGUUCAAAGAGCAUUCUCUUUGAAUUUCAUAGUGAAACUUUUGAUGACUCUAUUUUCUAUGUUCAUAUCUUCUUUUCUUUAGAUUAUUGUGCUAAUUAUCUAACUGGGUGGUCUUUAUUCUUUAUUCUAGCCAGUCUAUCUUCUACACUAAUGUCAGUAAUUUUUCUAAAAGUAGAAAAUCUGAUCUUGUAAUUAUUUUUAGGCUACAUAAUGUUUCAGUAUUAAUGGAAUAAAAGUCAAAACCCCUCAAAGUAGCACAUGUAGACAGGAUGUGAUAAGAAAUUUUAUGCCAAAAUUUAGAUAAAAUGGAAAGCUCAUUAAAAAUGUAAUUUAGUGAUAUUAUGUCACCAAAAUAUACUACAAUUGAAUAAUCUUACAACCAUUAAAUGAACCAGUUUCCUAACAUUUUUCUGUAUAGAAAAAUUUAACCCUGGAUGACUUUAAUGACUGGUUCUACUAAAUAUUCAAAAGUGAUGAAUUAGAAUCUGUACAAACUCUUCUAGAGAUUAGAAAAAUGUGGAACAGUCCCCAACUUAUUUUAUGAGGCCACAAGUCUAAUAUAACAUUGUUGGCAUUCAAGAAAUUCUUCAUAAAUCCUCCCUACUAACAAAUCCCCACCCACGAAGUUAUCUUUAUUCCAGCUUUAAUCAUAACUUUCUUCCUUUUCUUUAUAGCUUCACUACCUCUAUAUUCAUUUACAUAUAAAAUUGUAUAGGUUAGCCCAUUUUUAAACUUUGUGUGAAUGGAAUCAUACACAUCUUUAUUUGUGUCUUGUUAUAAUAUUAUUUGUUAAUAUAUUGUAAAUUUUUAUUUUCAGACUGUCAUGCAACUUGGAUGUGGUUACAUAAAUACAUGCUUUUAAAAUAUUCUUUAAAGUUCACAGACAAACACAUAUUGGGCUUGCAUUUUAAGCAUUUUAGGGCAUAAUAGUCUUUGAGAUAACUUCUAAACACAGCAAAGGAAGAAAACAUAAUGAAAUUUUUGCUUAUGGAAUAGAAAAAAGUAUUUUCAAACUAUGCAUCUAAUAGGGGAUUAAUAUUUAAAAUAUAUAAAAGCUCAACCCCAUAUCAAGAAAGCAAAUAACUAAAUUUUAAAAUAGGCAAAGGCCAGGUACAGUGAUGCAUUCCUAUAAUCCCAGUGACUCAAGUGGCUAAGGCAGGAAGAUUGCAGAUUCAAGGCCUGCCUCAGAAAUUUAGCAAGAUCCUGU